UCCAAGCACAGAAAGAAGUAUAGCAGUGUACACACACAGAGGAAUGUAGGUGUCAAUGAACAUGCAGGAAGGGCAUAUAACCUGACAAUGCACAUACAUGUGCAAUCCAAUGUUUGUGUAUCCUUGGAAACUGAAAUUGAUAAAUCAAACAUGUAAUAAAUGAUCAAGAAUGGUUAUAUUAGCUAAACAUUUA